rnacentral:rRNA from 1 species
UACGUAGGGUGCGAGCGUUGUCCGGAAUUAUUGGGCGUAAAGAGCUCGUAGGCGGUCUGUCGCGUCGGAUGUGAAAACUCGGGGCUCAACCCCGAGCCUGCAUUCGAUACGGGCAGACUAGAGUUCGGUAGGGGAGACUGGAAUUCCCGGUGUAGCGGUGAAAUGCGCAGAUAUCGGGAAGAACACCCGUGGCGAAGGCGGUUCUCUGGGACGGUACUGACGCUGAGACGCGAAAGCGUGGGGAGCGAACAGG